rnacentral:lncRNA from 1 species
AACUCAUAACUAGUCUAUCUAGUGGAGAAAAAUUCUUGUGGGCAGUUUGAAAGCCUCUAAGAGAAGAUUAUGAAGUUUGGAACCAGAUGCCAGGAGACACGAGGAAGGCUGUAGAUGCUUUGAACUUGUCUACUGGAGGAAUAUGCUAUGUUGUGUACUUCAUCUCUAUGAAUAUUUAGCAAGGAUUUCUACUGAACGUUUGCAGUAAUAAAAAGUAUGCCAUCAGUUUUAAUAAAGAGACACCCACUUCAAUUACUAUUUGUUACAACACUUCCAGUAUCACUUGUGACAAAUUUCAAUUAUAGUUGAAAUCCAAAGCAUAAUCCAGUUCAGAGAGACACAUGGAAGUGACCCUUGAGCUUUAUUUUGUUAAGUUAAAGUUAAAACAUUGCUUUUAUUUCAUCAUGUCGACAAACAUCCCUGGGAGUCAGAACCACCAUUUUUGCAAGAGGUGAGUUGUAGUUUAAAUAAAGCAUUCAAACAAUCAUUCAAAUAAGUUCAAUAUUUAUUAUUCUGUUACUUUGAUUUUAGUAUAUUUCUAAUGUCUAUAUCUGUCUGUCAACCUAUACCUCCUUCCUAAAAUAUAUUGGUUAUGCUUACCAUAUUUAUCCAACAAAAUAUGGAAAGUUAUGUAAAACAGUGUCUUUUCUUCUGGGCCACUUUGCACAGGAAACUUGACUCCUCAGU